ACUCAAAGGAAUAGACGGGGGAGCACCACAAGGGGUGAAGCCUGCGGCUUAAUUGGAGUCAACGCCGGGAAUCUUACCGGGAGCGACAGUAGUAUGAAGGCCAAGCUGACGACUUUGCUAGACAGACUGAGAGGAGGUGCAUGGCCGUCGCCAGUUCGUGCCGUGAGGUGUCCGGUUAAGUCCGGCAACGAACGAGACCCCCAUCUUUUGUUGCUAGCCUGUUUCUUCGGAGACAGGUGCACACGGAAGAGACUGCCAGUGUUAAACUGGAGGAGGGAGGGGGCUACGGCAGGUCAGCAUGCCCCGAAUCUCCCGGGCCGCACGCGGGCUGCAAUGGCGAGGACAGCGGGUUCCGACCUCGAAAGGGGUAGGUAAUCCCUUAAACCUCGCCGUAGUUGGGAUUGAGGGCUGUAACCCGCCCUCAUGAACAUGGAAUCCCUAGUAACCGCACGUCACCAUCGUGCGGUGAAUACGUCCCUGCUCCUUGCACACACCGCCCGU
rnacentral:rRNA from 1 species